rnacentral:lncRNA from 1 species
UCUGCACCUACAGCCUUGCUAGAGAGAUGCUACCACAGGAGGAGGAAACGGCAGCCUAGGAGGCUUUAGCAGCAGAGAGAGCGAGCUCAGCAGGCAGAGGCCUGAUGACAUAAGUUCAGUCCCUUCAUCCCAGUAGGCAGUAGGAGAGCCCUAACUCCUAAGACUCAUCCUGGACUCUCCACAUGCUCCAUAGCUCAUGUGUGUCCACAUGCGCAUCCAUAGCUCAUGUGUGUCCACAUGCACUCCAUAGCUCAUGUGUGUCCACAUGCACUCCAUAGCUCAUGUGUGGCCACAUGCUCAUCCAUAGCUCAUGUGUGGCCACAUGCUCAUCCAUAGCUCAUGUGUGUCCACAUGCACUCCAUAGCUCAUGUGUGUCCACAUGCACUCCAUAGCUCAUGUGUGUCCACAUGCACUCCAUAGCUCAUGUGUGUCCACAUGCACUCCAUAGCUCAUGUGUGUCCACAUGCACUCCAUAGCUCAUGUGUGUCUGUGCCUGCACACACGCAGUAAAUAACUUUUUAAAGUAGUCUUGGCACUUUGCCCACAGUCAUGCAUCUCCCUAAUGACAGAAUUUGAACCUAGACAUAACUGAGGUGAGAGUGAAAUUCCUCCUCGGUACAUAAUGUGUUCUACAGCACAACUGUUAAGCUCCCUUACUGGAUGUGAGAACCUGAGAGAGAAGCUUUCUCAUCGACAGGCUUUACAAUGAAAGCCCUGAAGCUUACACACACACCGUACACCUUCCAAAACUCAUAGUAAGUAAAAAGACAAAAACUUAAAAAGAAAAAAUUGAAAUGUCCUAUUAAACCGUCUUGUUAUUAAGAUAUGGUUGCUUUGGAGGCUGGAGAGAUGGCUCAGUGGUCAGGCCCUCUUACCGCCUUUGCAGAGCAUACCUGGGUUCAGUUCCCAGCACCCACGUGGCAGUUCACAACUAUCUGUAACUCCAGUUCCUGGGAACCUUUUUAAAGAAGGGCUUGUCAACUGAUCUUCUCCUGAGCAACUCCAGAGUGAGAAGGAAGUGAGCUGGUGACUCUGCACGCCCUGCAGUCACAUAAAAGCCAUUUCAGUCUGGCCUCCGAGGAGCACAAAGGGUCAAGGGUGCUGACCUGGGUGAAGUCCUCUUGAAAAUGAGCCUGUCCCACUUCACUUUUCCCAUCUCCCCACUUGACCUCUGACCUCCCAUUCAUGGUUCUCAGACUAAAACCUUUAGAAGCCUGUGCACAGGCACAUGGGUUUCUAGAACUCCGAGAAAUGGCUGGCUGACGUUAAAGAUCUUCAGAAGCAAACUACCCCAGGACGUCCUCCAGCACCUUCCAAGGGUGUGUGCUGGAAUGAAAAGCCUUUGAGCUAAGAUCACUUAGAAGAGAUAAGUUAGUUACCAGCUUGCUUCAUCCUUACCAUUGACAGUUGUUUCCCGUCAGUCU